GGACUACCACGUAGACAGCAUAUAUAUUUCUCACUUGCUUCUUCACGCGUGAUAUCAUACUCCAUGCUUACUGUGUAAUUUUGUGUUUAGUUGAAGUAAUCUUUUUUAGGUAAAGAUGUUUAUUAGGUUGGAACUUUAGUCCAGGUAUAUAAUAAGCAAAAAUAAAAAAGCAUAGGUGUUUGAUUAUGUAUUUAGCCGAUUCGUUUUCCAUUACUUUUGGUUAUACAUAUGCACGCAUAUAUAAGGAAAGACAUCACAAAAUGACAAUUCUCUUUUUCUCUUUCUUGAGACAGAAACUUUUUCUCUCUAUUUUUAGAGUUUUCUUAGGUCAAAUUUUCUUCUUUCUUUGUCAUUCAGGGCCUGUACACUACCCUUUCUGGGUAGGGAACAAUAUUUUCCCUAACUAGGAGAAUGGGUUUCUCCCUCCCCACCUCCAGGUUGGAUUGUGUAUAGGUUUUUGUUUGAGUUGUUUUAUGGUUUGCAAGUCUGGUUUAUAUUUGAGAGGGUUCUUUGUGAUUUGCUUUUGUCUUUGCCGAUCCAUGGUAACAAUCGACUGGGUUAUGCAAGUCUACACUCAAUCACUAGUAAGAUGUUCGUCUGUGCAUGGUAAUUUUGGUGCAUCCUUGCCAACGACUGGUGGCUUACCCUCAAGGCUAAAUGAUAGUGAGACGUUGUGAGUUAUGCAGUGUGCUAGCACUCCUAAGGCUACUGGUUCUGUACAUGGGUUAAAGGGUGACUGAGGUUGAGACUAAGGGAAGAAAGACUCUGGUUUUUUAUUGUAAAAUCUAAAGUUGCCUAACAUGGCUUUUUAAGAGCAUAACAUCUCUCUUCUUCUUCUGCUAGUGUUGCAAUCUUCCUGCGUUUAGAGGAGCUGAUGCAGACAUGAAAUUGCUACUUCAAACUAUGUGCGUAGCUUUGGGGUUUCUAUGGAGUGGGCAUUGGGCUUAUAAUUUGCAAGGUAUAUUUAUACAUAUAUUUUUUUUUUACCUCUUUUUGUGCUUUGGCCUCCCGACCCAUUUGUAUGGAGGCUCAUCCUUGCAAACCUUUAACUCUUAAUUGAAACUACCUUUGUCUAUUGAGAAAAAG
rnacentral:misc_RNA from 1 species